rnacentral:rRNA from 1 species
UGCCUACGGGGGGCAGCAGUGGGGAAUAUUGGGCAAUGGGCGCAAGCCUGACCCAGCAACGCCGCGUGAAGGAAGAAGGCUUUCGGGUUGUAAACUUCUUUUAAGAGGGACGAAACAAAUGACGGUACCUCUUGAAUAAGCUCCGGCUAACUACGUGCCAGCAGCCGCGGUAAUACGUAGGGAGCGAGCGUUAUCCGGAUUUACUGGGUGUAAAGGGAGCGUAGGCGGCCUGGCAAGCCUGAUGUGAAAUACCGGGGCCCAACCCCGGGGCUGCAUUGGGAACUGCCAGGCUGGAGUGCCGGAGA